AUCCCAUUUCCCGUGUAAGUGUUUUUUUUUAUAAGAACAGGAAUUGAUUGAUGUUCGGCUGAGCGAAGCGAGAGAGAACAUAAUAUGAAUGCCUCGUCCUAUCUGAUUUAGCCAUUUAAACCGAUCACGUGAUCUUAAACAAGAAGGAAAAAAUAAAAAUCUACAAACGCCAUGUUGGAUUUUUAAGAGAUUUUGCAAAAAGUUCCCAAAUCAUGGACCCCGAUUACGCACUCCAGGAUGUCAUUCGAUGCAAACUGUGUGAGACACCUGUCCCUCCACUUUACUGUGAAAUUUGCGACAUCAAGCUCUGUAAGGCCUGUGCAGGGGAACAUCUAUUGGAUGAAUCCAAAUUUCACGUAGUGAUCCCAAUCAAACAUCGACAAUCGAUUCGUCAAAUUAGUUAUGAUAAUCCUGAAUGCCAAAUUCAUCCAGCAAAACUUUGUGAACUCCAUUGCAAACAAUGUGACAUUCCUAUAUGUGCCCAAUGUUUUUCUUCCAAGAAACAUAGGAUUCACGAUGUGAUAGACAUUUCAAAGUUUUUUGAAAGAAAAACUAAAACCCUACAAGCAGAUUUAGAAGAGCUAGGAAAAUUGGUUUAUCCUCGUUAUCAAGAGAUUGCAUCAUCAUUUCCAGUUCAGAGAGCUGAUUUGAAAAGAAACACUGAGAAAUUGAUAUUAGCUAUCAAUGAGCGGGGAGAAGUGUGGCACAGAGAAAUAGACAACAUCAUCAGAAAUCUAAAAUCUGAUAUUGGAAAAACGGAAUCUGAACACAAAGAUUUUCUUCAAAAGCAAGAAAACGAAAUAAAUCACACCAUUUCAGAAAUAUCACAGACUAUUGGUGAACUGAAAAAAAUAAUGGAUAAUAAUGAUGUCAGACUUCUUUGCAAGUACAAAUCCAGAAAUGCAGAAUUUAGAAUGUUGCCUCCAAAAUUCAUCGUUACAUUACCAAGCUUCUCUUCCCCCAAAAUCGACACAGAACAACUAACUCAACAGUUUGGUUCUCUGUCAACGCUAUGCAUAAAAACAGAAGAACGAAUCUACACUAAAUCCCGUGAAACCAGACAAAGACCAGACUCCUUGGAAUCUGUUUGGGAGUCUGAUUAAAUGAAAUAAAAGACAGAACGGCUUUUGAAGAGGUUAAAAAAGACAGCAUGGUGCACAUGAACAGAAAUUUGGAUUACAAUUAACGACAUAACAUUUUCUAAACAUUUGGGUAAUGGACUGGAUUUGAUUCAUAUCAAACCAUUAAAGACCGACAGAAGAAACAGUAAAUACUGUAAAUUCCUAAUUAAACGCGAGGAAUUAAUAUCCGCGUAAAAUCGCGAGAAGCCCGUCUCGCGAAUUUUAAAAUCUCGCUUUUAAUUUUCAGACAUAUGUAAACUACAUGAAACUAUGAUAAAAUUUCGGCAUUCGCGAUUUUAUGUUCUCGCGAUUUGAUGGAAAACCGUUGAAUCGCAGAAUUAAGUACUCGCGUAAAAUAAGGAAUCUAACGAUUGAAUGUAAAGAACGUUGUCUUUGCUUUAAAAGAAAUCAGGGUACGAGUUUGACUUCGGGGACAAGGUUCCAACCCCAGCUAGGACCAGAUGUGUUCUACGCGGUUGUGUGAAAGAGCAAAUAUCCCGGAAAUAUAGGCAUACAACUUUUUUCUUCAGUCUAUGUUCGUGAGCUCCGUCACUACUAUUAUUUAUAGUAUGGCUUGCAUUUCGGCAGAGAGAGUCUAUUCCUUCCAACUAACAAUUACAUCAACACAUCUAUUGCCAUAUUGAUAAAAGGAUAACAUUCCUUUACAAUAUUUGUUGAUUUCAAUAUUUAUAAUAAUACAUUAAUUAUAAUUAUUAUUUAUUCUUAUUAUUAUUAAUAUAUUUUUGUUAUUUGUAGAAAUUUUUUUCUGCGAACUGAAAGUAACGUAUACCUUUUCAAGUAUGUGUACACGAAUAAAUUUUGACAAAAAGGUGGCUCAACAACGAAAAAGUUCAUAAGCACCACAUAUACCUUUAAAAGUUAUGUUGUAUAUGUAUAUGUAAAUUUAUAGAUGAAUAUUAAAUAUUUAUAAAUGUCCACUUCAUGAAUCUUGUAACCUAAAGCUAUACACGCCAUAAUUUGCGUAUAUAUUUGAUGAUGGAGAAAAUGCAUGUAUUUGAUUACUUAUAAAAGUUACCGUCAUGCGGAUAAUUAUAAUGCUCAAUUCGUGCCAGAAAAGUAAUGCCUCCUCAUGAAUAUCAAUCUAUCACGUGAUAUCGACUGCUUAUUUUAGACUAUCAUACAAAUAUGAGUGGAGCAUCAACACCUUCAUAACUGCUAUAGUUCCACGAAGGAAAGGAUACAAUUUUUUACGAGAACAAACAAAAGAAAACAAAAACACAAGCUGUAAGCAGAUAUAUACUUCAUUUAAACAAUGACGUUGGCCUCUAUGUGUUUUCCCCUAAUGUCAAUUUUUAGUUCGUGUCCGCGUUAUCCUAUUUAAACAUGCAAAUGUAAGGGGAUCGUGAAUGACAAACGUAAAACCUAAUAACAAUGAAUACAUUUAAAUUAACAACUGUUAAGCAUAUACAAAAUCCAGACGGAUAUGUAAUUAAGCAAACAAUAAAGGACACCUGAUUUUCCACGGACAUGCACAAUGAGGUCGGUUUUGCUCUUCCUUCAUCAUUAUUCAUGAAAAAGCAUUAAUUUUCUGGUAGAAAAAUAAACAAGCUAAUUCUUUGUAACAAGAUGGAAUUCACCAUUGUCAUUUACUGAAUAAAGGUAACUUAACAAGUAAGUAAACAAAUAAGUAAACAAAACGCAUGCGUUUUAACUGUCAUUCAAAAUUAGCGCAAAUUAUAAAGCUUAAUUAAAUAUGUACAAAAUAAUAUCAGACCCGGGAAAAUUCAGAGCUUACCAAAAUCAGAAGCUAAUAUUUAACAAAUAGACACCUUCUGUCGGUACGCUAAGUCAAAUUUUGCAUCCGAUUAGAAACAAGUAUAUUGUAUAAUCAAUUCUAUUGCAAUCUUUUAACCGGCUACAUCUCGCUGAAUAUGGAAUAACCUGACCAAGUAUUAUCCCGUGACAGCUAACAAAAUGAGUAUUUAAUGACCUUAAAAUGACUUUUAUACAGAUGUUGAGAAAAAACAAUAUUUUUUGUUCUAGAUUGAGUGUAUUCUUUUGCAUGACGCUAAAAGGGCAUAAUUAUGUCUGUAAACCACUUGAUAGAGAUUAAUGUCGCAUUCUACCAGUAUGUAAAUGGUAUGUAAUGGUUUGAAUGGUUCUUAUUUUUCGAGUGAAAUUACCUACAAUAAACACGAUUCGUUUGCACAAAUUUUGAUCAAAAAUUUAAGGGUUUUUCCCAUCUCUUUAAUGGUUAUCAAUCAUUAACAAAUAUUGUUAUAUUGUUAUCCACUAUAUUCUGUUUAAAAAAAUAAAAAAUUCAUAUGAACGACUUGAUAAAUUAUGAUAAUGAUAACUGUCUUUCAACGAUUAAAAUAUACAUAUGAGUAUAUAGCAUCAUCAGAUUUUAAAAUAAUAGCGUUUCUUUGGAUAUACAUCAAUACUCUUUUUCAUUCUUAAUUAGUUUCUUUUUUAUACUGUCUUUAUAUUGUUAUGCGUUGAUUAUUUGUGAUUAAUUAAACUUUAUAUGUAUAUAUUCAAAUCUACCGUGUAUGAUUCCCUCUAUUUCUGAAGGAAUCUUUACGUAAUUCAUAUCUCUCUAGAAACUAACAGGACUGAUUUUGACACACCCCGUUUUUCGAUUGGUCGAAAGCUACAGCGACUGAAACAGAAAGGAAAUUGAUAGGACCGAAAUGUAUAUGUCCCGUUUAUCGAUUGGUCAAAACCUACAGCUACCUAGGCAAAAUCAAGCACUGCACGAAAUUAUCCUGAUGAUGUUAGACUCCAAUAUCCUAUUGGCUGUUUCUUUUACAUAACGAACGCAUGUACAUUAACAUUCAUUUCGUAAAUUAAACUCACUUUUUACAAUCAAUUUUUUACUUUGUUAAAAGAAAGGUGUGAUUAUAAACAAUAAAAUGCGUUCUUUAAUGAUUUAUGCAGGUUUUGAAGGGUUAUUACUAUAAUGAAAGCAGGGACCUUAUGGGUAGGCGUCUUAACUCUAAUAGUUAAGUUACAAUUUUAGGCAGAAAUUGGCUCUUUACUUUUUUUCUUAUUCGUAUCACAAUGGGAACGUUGGAUACAUCUCAGAGGUGUUUUACAGCAGAGAUUGGACAAAUUUAACAUUAAUAUGGAGGAGCAGGUAAAUCACACAGGUAGCUACGCUUUUCGUAUGAUAUUGCAGGCACUGUAAUGAAGGUCAAAGAUUUUAAUUAUAAAUAUUGUAGGAGAACAAGUUUUAAAUCUAAAGAUAACACCAGCUUUAAGAGAUUAACUUAGAUGAAUACGAUUUAAUUUUACAAAAACAAUUCUGAUUAUCCAACAACAACGCUUUUUAAGUUUUUAAAGAGUUUUUUGAGGCUAUACCCUGAACGUUUUUUUGCACCUAUUGAUUUCUUUAGCGAAAAAACGUCAUAAAGAGACGAGCACACUCUACAACACUGGAAUUUUAAAUCCAGUCUUUUAUAUCUACAUAAAUUAAACACUUUUUUCUGUCAUGUAAAUCAAUGCCGGUUUAAUUAAAUAGAUCUUUCUAGGCCAAGAAAAGUAUACCUGGAAUCGCCAUGUUAAAAUAAAAAGGUUUGUAUUUGUAGAUUUGUUGAAUAUACAUAUUGUUAAACUGUUAAAAUUUGUUAUACCAAAACUAGAAAGAUUUUGCUAUUAUUCCUUCGAUUACGUAAUAAAACUUGACUUGGAAGCCAUCAUGUUUAUAAAGUUUACAAAGAAAAAGAACUAUGUCACUGCUGUCAUAUACAUGUUAAACACAUGUAUCUACUGUCUUAUAGUAACCAUGUAUUAUGUUUAUCCUGUAGCAGAAUAUUCCAAUGGACGUUUCAAACUAGCUACUUUCUACUUUAAAUGCAUCAUCAUAAUUUAUGCAGUUCAUACUGCAAUACAAGGAAAUUUAAUAUGAAGUAAAAACGCCACAAUACGUUAGCAUUGCAACGACGGAUAAACACCAGGCCCAAUUUGAGAACACGCGGACCAAAUAUAGGACUGGUUUAUUGGGUUACCUUUAUUUGGUCAGUGGUUGUAGGAUAAAGGCAUUUGUCAGACGACCUGAAUAUUCCUCUCCAGGUAGCAAUUGGCAAGAAAUUCGGAUGAAAAUCAGCGAAAUAAAUUGACAGUCUGCUGUUUUCUGGAAACUUUUGAAAAUUCCAGCCCGUUUAAUAAGUAGCAAAUUAGUUGUAAAUAAACAAGGUUUCAAAAUCAUGGACCCUCUAGAUACAAACAGUCUUAAGGAUGUCAUACGAUGUCAUAUGUGUGAUUCACCUGUUCCGCCAUUAUACUGUGAUAUCUGUCAAUUCAACCUUUGCAAGAACUGUGCUGGAGAACAUCUUGUAGAUGAAUCCAAAUUUCAUUUAGUCGUGCUAGUCAAACAUUGGAAGUCGAACUAUACCUAUAGUUAUCCUAAAAGCGCAGAACAUACCAAAAAACUGUGUGAACUUCAUUGUGAACAAUGUAACAUUCCUGUUUGUGUACAAUGCGUUUCUUCAAAGAAACAUAAAGCUCACGAUGUUGAAGACAUUUUGAAAUUUAUGGAGAGCAAAAACAAAGCUGUAGAAGCAGAUUUAGAAGAAUUAGGAAAAAUUAUUUAUCCUAAAUAUCAGCAAAUUGUAUCAAAUUUCUCAGUCCAAAGAGCUGAUUUAAAUAGACAUAUUGAGCAAUUGAUAAAAGGGGACAGGACUGGCACCGAGAAAUAGACAACAUCGUUAGGAAACUGAAAUCAAACAAGAUAUUGUACCUUACAUCCUAGCUCAGAAAAUUGAUCUAGAUAAACAUUAUAAAAAAAACCCGAAAAAUAAGUCUGAGAGCAAACACUGAGAAAAACCGGUGUAAAGCAGAAUAAUUACUCCGUUAGAAUAAUGACCAAUGGUAAUUUUUCGACGUAGAAUAUUGACCCUUCGGUCAGUCAUUAUUUUACUGAAAAGUUUACUUCACUGUUAAAAAUAAUUACUUGAAUGAUCUUUCUAACAAAUUUUAAGCUCUAUAAUCCCUUUUUCGCAGUCAAAAUAUUUUUCCAUUUCAAUACAAAAAAUGCAUGAAAGUUCA